rnacentral:rRNA from 1 species
AACGAACGCUGGCGGCAUGCCUAACACAUGCAAGUCGAACGAGACCUCCGGGUCUUGUGGCGCACGGGUGCGUAACGCGGGGGAACCUGCCCUUAGGUUCGGAAUAACUCUCCGACAGGGGUGCUAAUACCGGAUAAUGUCUUCGGACCAAAGAUUUAUCGCCCUUGGGUGGGCCCGCGUUGGAUUAGCUUGUUGGUAGGGUAAAAGCCUACCAAGGCGAGGAUCCCUAGCUGGUUAGAGAGGAAGAUCAGCCACACUGGGACUGAGACGCGGCCCGGAAUCUUACGGAAGGGGGGAGUGGGGGAUAUUGGACAAUGGCGUGAGGGCUGAAGCAGCAAUGCCGGGUAAGUGAUGAUGGCCGUAGAGUAGUAAAGCUCUUUUACCCGGGAUGAUAAUGACGGUACCGGGAGAAUAAGCACCGGCUAACUCCGUG